rnacentral:rRNA from 1 species
UACGUAGGAUGCGAGCGUUAAUCGGAAUUACUGGGCGUAAAGCGUGCGCAGGCGGUUUCACAAGCUCGAUGUGAAAGCCCCGGGCUUAACCUGGGAAUGGCAUUGAGGACUGUGGAGCUCGAGUGCGGCAGAGGGAGGUGGAAUCCACGUGUAGCAGUGAAAUGCGUAGAGAUGUGGAGGAACACCGAUGGCGAAGGCAGCCUCCUGGGCCGACACUGACGCUCAUGCACGAAAGCGU